GACGAACGCUGGCGGCGUGCUUAACACAUGCAAGUCGAACGGAAAGGCCCUGCUUUUGUGGGGUGCUCGAGUGGCGAACGGGUGAGUAACACGUGAGUAACCUGCCCUUGACUUUGGGAUAACUUCAGGAAACUGGGGCUAAUACCGGAUAGGAGCUCCUGCUGCAUGGUGGGGGUUGGAAAGUUUCGGCGGUUGGGGAUGGACUCGCGGCUUAUCAGCUUGUUGGUGGGGUAGUGGCUUACCAAGGCUUUGACGGGUAGCCGGCCUGAGAGGGUGACCGGCCACAUUGGGACUGAGAUACGGCACAGACUCCUACGGGAGGCAGCAGUGGGGAAUAUUGCACAAUGGGCGGAAGCCUGAUGCAGCAACGCCGCGUGCGGGAUGACGGCCUUCGGGUUGUAAACCACUUUCGCCUGUGACGAAGCGUGAGUGACGGUAAUGGGUAAAGAAGCACCGGCUAACUACGUG
rnacentral:rRNA from 1 species